UGAACGCUGGCGGCGUGCUUAACACAUGCAAGUCGAACGGUGAAGCCCAGCUUGCUGGGUGGAUCAGUGGCGAACGGGUGAGUAACACGUGAGCAAUCUGCCCCUGACUCUGGGAUAAGCGCUGGAAACGGCGUCUAAUACUGGAUAUGAGCUGCGAUCGCAUGGUCAGUAGCUGGAAAGAUUUUUUGGUCAGGGAUGAGCUCGCGGCCUAUCAGCUUGUUGGUGAGGUAAUGGCUCACCAAGGCGUCGACGGGUAGCCGGCCUGAGAGGGUGACCGGCCACACUGGGACUGAGACACGGCCCANACUCCUACGGGAGGCAGCAGUGGGGAAUAUUGCACAAUGGGCGCAAGCCUGAUGCAGCAACGCCGCGUGAGGGAUGACGGCCUUCGGGUUGUAAACCUCUUUUAGCAGGGAAGAAGCGAAAGUGACGGUACCUGCAGAAAAAGCGCCGGCUAACUACGUGCCAGCAGCCGCGGUAAUACGUAGGGCGCAAGCGUUAUCCGGAAUUAUUGGGCGUAAAGAGCUCGUAGGCGGUUUGUCGCGUCUGCUGUGAAAUCCCGAGGCUCAACCUCGGGUCUGCAGUGGGUACGGGCAGACUAUAGUGCGGUAGGGGAGAUUGGAAUUCCUGGUGUAGCGGUGGAAUGCGCAGAUAUCAGGAGGAACACCGAUGGCGAAGGCAGAUCUCUGGGCCGUAACUGACCCUGAAGAACGAAAGGGUGGGGAGCAAACAGGCUUAGAUACCCUGGUAGUCCACCCCGUAAACGUUGGGAACUAGUUGUGGGGUCCAUUCCACGGAUUCCGUGACCCCACUUACGCAUUAAGUUCCCCGCCUGGGGAGUCCGGCCGCAAGGCUAAAACUCAAAGGAAUUGACGGGGACCCGCACAAGC
rnacentral:rRNA from 1 species